UACGUAGGGGGCAAGCGUUUGUCCGGAUUUAUUGGGCGUAAAGAGCUCGUAGGCGGUUUGUCGCGUCUGCCGUGAAAGUCCGGGGCUCAACUCCGGAUCUGCGGUGGGUACGGGCAGGCUCGAGUUCGGUAGGGGAGACUGGAAUUCCUGGUGUAGCGGUGAAAUGCGCAGAUAUCAGGAGGAACACCGGUGGCGAAGGUGGGUCUCUGGGCCGAUACUGACGCUGAGGAGCGAAAGCGUGGGGAGCGAACAGG
rnacentral:rRNA from 1 species